GGGGACUUAGCUCAGUGGUAGAGCACUUGCCUAGCAAGCGCAAGGCCAUGGGUUCAGUCCCCA
rnacentral:tRNA from 1 species